rnacentral:rRNA from 1 species
CAGCAGCCGCGGGAAUACGUAGGGUGCAAGCGUUAAUCGGAAUUACUGGGCGUAAAGCGUGCGCAGGCGGUUAUAUAAGACAGAUGUGAAAUCCCCGGGCUCAACCUGGGAACUGCAUUUGUGACUGUAUAGCUAGAGUACGGCAGAGGGGGAUGGAAUUCCGCGUGUAGCAGUGAAAUGCGUAGAUAUGCGGAGGAACACCGAUGGCGAAGGCAAUCCCCUGGGCCUGUACUGACGCUCAUGCACGAAAGCGUGGGGAGCAAACAGGAUUAGAUACCCGAGUAGUCCCUGUCUCUUAUAU